rnacentral:rRNA from 1 species
UAGGGAAUCUUCCACAAUGGACGCAAGUCUGAUGGAGCAACGCCGCGUGAGUGAAGAAGGCUUUCGGGUCGUAAAACUCUGUUAUUGAAGAAGAACGUGUGUGACAGUAACUGGUCAUGCAGUGACGGUAUUCAAUCAGAAAGUCACGGCUAACUACGUGCCAGCAGCCGCGGUAAUACGUAGGUGGCAAGCGUUGUCCGGAUUUAUUGGGCGUAAAGCGAGUGCAGGCGGUCUUUUAAGUCUGAUGUGAAAGCCUUCGGCUUAACCGAAGAAGGGCAUCGGAAACUGGGAAACUUGAGUGCAGAAGAGGAGAGUGGAACUCCAUGUGUAGCGGUGAAAUGCGUAGAUAUAUGGAAGAACACCAGUGGCGAAGGCGGCUCUCUGGUCUGUAACUGACGCUGAGGCUCGAAAGCGUGGGUAGCAAACAGGAUUAGAUACCCUGGUAGUCCACGCCGUAA